AGUGAACGCUGGCGGUAGGCCUAACACAUGCAAGUCGAACGGCAGCACAGUAAGAGCUUGCUCUUACGGGUGGCGAGUGGCGGACGGGUGAGGAAUACAUCGGAAUCUACUUUUUCGUGGGGGAUAACGUAGGGAAACUUACGCUAAUACCGCAUACGACCUACGGGUGAAAGCAGGGGAUCUUCGGACCUUGCGCGAUUGAAUGAGCCGAUGUCGGAUUAGCUAGUUGGCGGGGUAAAGGCCCACCAAGGCGACGAUCCGUAGCUGGUCUGAGAGGAUGAUCAGCCACACUGGAACUGAGACACGGUCCAGACUCCUACGGGAGGCAGCAGUGGGGAAUAUUGGACAAUGGGCGCAAGCCUGAUCCAGCCAUACCGCGUGGGUGAAGAAGGCCUUCGGGUUGUAAAGCCCUUUUGUUGGGAAAGAAAAGCAGCAGGUUAAUACCCCGCUGUUCUGGCGGUACCCAAAGAAUAAGCAUCGGCUAACUUCGUG
rnacentral:rRNA from 1 species